rnacentral:misc_RNA from 1 species
GUCUAUCCCGGUGCAAUGAG